CGCCCGCUUCCGGCGCGGGCGCGCGAGCUCGAGGCGCCGGGCGGGCAGCGAGCGGGGCUUGCGGGCGGCGGCCGGGCUGGUUGCUGCCCUCGGCGCCGCCGCCAUGGGCAAGAAGCACAAGAAGCACAAGGCCGAGUGGCGCUCGUCGUACGAAGAUUAUGCCGACAAGCCCUUGGAGAAACCCCUGAAGCUGGUCCUCAAGGUGGGGGGAAGUGAAGUGACCGAGCUCUCCGGGUCUGGCCACGACUCCAGUUACUACGACGACAGGUCAGACCACGAGCGCGAGCGGCACAGAGAGAAGAAGAAGAAGAAGAAGAAGAAGUCAGAGAAGGAGAAGCACCUCGACGAUGAAGAAAGGAGGAAGCGAAAGGAGGAGAAGAAGCGCAAGCGGGAGAAGGAGCACUGUGACACGGAGGGGGAGGCCGAUGACUUUGACCCCGGGAAGAAGGUGGAGGUGGAGCCGCCCCCCGACCGGCCUGUCCGAGCGUGCCGGACGCAGCCAGCUGAAAGCGAGAGCACGCCUAUUCAGCAGCUCCUCGAGCAUUUCCUCCGGCAGCUGCAGAGAAAAGAUCCUCACGGCUUUUUUGCUUUUCCUGUCACGGACGCCAUUGCCCCUGGGUACUCGAUGAUAAUAAAACACCCGAUGGACUUUGGCACGAUGAAGGAGAAAAUCGCCGCUAACGAGUACAAGUCGGUCACGGAAUUUAAGGCAGAUUUCAAACUGAUGUGUGACAACGCAAUGACGUACAACAGGCCGGACACCGUGUACUACAAGUUAGCGAAGAAGAUCCUUCACGCGGGCUUUAAGAUGAUGAGCAAAGAGCGGCUGCUGGCUUUGAAGCGCAGCGUGUCGUUCAUGCAGGACAUGGAUUUCUCUCAGCAGGCCGCGCUCCUGGGCAACGAAGACACAGCUGUUCAGGAGCCCGUCCCCGAAGUCGCGCCCGUGCAAGUAGAAACUGCCCGGAGGUCCAAAAGGCCGAGUAGAGAAGCCAUCAGCUGCAUGUUUGAGCCGGAAGGCAACGCCUGCAGCCUGACGGACAGCACCGCAGAAGAGCACGUGCUGGCCUUGGUGGAGCACGCGGCCGACGAGGCCCGGGACAGGAUCAACCGGCUCGUCCCCGGGGGCAAGAUGGGCUACCUGAAGAAGGGCGGCGACGGCAGCCUGCUCUACAGCGUGGUCAACGCCGCCGAGCCGGACGCCGACGAGGAGGAGACGCACCCGGUGGACCUGAGCUCGCUGUCCAGCAAGCUGCUCCCAGGCUUCACCACACUGGGCUUCAGGGAGGAGCGGAGGAGCAGAGUCACCUUCCUGUCCAGCGCCAGCACCGCGCUUGCCCUGCACAGCAACUCCGUGUUGGGCGAUCUGAAGUCGGAUGAAGCGGAGCUGCUCUACGCGGCCUACGGAGACGAGACGGGCGUGCAGUGCGCCCUGAGCCUGCAGGAGUUUGUGAAGGAUGCUGGGAGCUACAGCAAGAAAAUGGUGGACGACCUCCUGGACCAGAUCACCGGCGGAGACCACUCGCGGAUGCUCUUCCAGCUGAGGCAGUUAUUUUUCAGGGAAACGAGAAAGGUCGUCCCCCCGGGCCCGUGGUCUCCGGCCCUCUGCCCCCACUUUCUUUCAGCCGCCGCCACUUUCCUUCAUCCCGAAGAAUUUCCUCUGGUGUUUUUCUAAGGACAGAUUUGCUGGCAGUGGAUUUGCCCAGUCUUUCUGUAUCUGAAGUGUCUUUACCUUUCUUUUUUGAAACUUGUCUAUGCUGGGGUGGAAUCACAGGCUGAUGUCUUUUCCUCUGCCUAAGACAACGCCUGAGGAGCUCCCGCCGUGGCACAGCUUGUUAAGAAUCCCACUGCAGAGCUGCUGCUGUGGCACAGUGGAAAUCAGUGGUGUCCUGGGAGCACCAGGAUGCAGCUUCGAUCCCUGGACUGGCACAGUGGGUUCAGGAUCUGACCCCUGGCCCGGAAACUCCAUAUGCUGCAGGGCAGCAAAAAAAAAAAAUCCGACUGCAUGCAGCGGCUUCAGUUUCUGCGGAGGUGCAGCUUUGACCCCCGCCCGGUGUAGGGCCUGGCGUUGCCACGGCUGUGAUGCAGGCCACAGCCACAGCUUGGAUUCCAUCUCUGGCCCAGGAAUGUCCAUGUGCCACAGGCCACGUGUGGCCACAAAGCUUCAAGGGGUUGCCCUUGGCCUGUUUGGAGAAAACGUGCUGCCUGCUGCUCUAAAUGCUUUUAAGUUUUGUUCUUUGUGACGGCUUUUCAUCACUUCCCUUCCGGCCUACACUGCAGCCACAGCAACGCCGGAACUGCAGCGCACUGAGCAAGGCCAGGGAUGGAACCCGCGUCCUUGUGGAUGCUGGUUGGAUUCAUUUCUGCUGUGCCAUGACGGGAACUCCUUAUGUGCUUUUCUUUGUAUUCAUUCCGCUUAACAUUGGUUGAGCUGCUUGGGUCCAUUGGUUUAUAGUUUCCAUCAAACUUGGAAUAUUUUCACUCUUCAAAUAUGUUCUUUCUUUCUGUGUAAGCUUUUUUUAACGCAGAGGUGUGUCCGGUGUACAGCAUAGAGAUAAGCGACUUUGAGAGGUUUCCCUGCACUUGAAGUGAGCGUGCAAGGGUGACGAUGCUUUGCGCGCCAUGCAGCCUUUUCCCGUGGUGGGUCUUAGGUUUGAUAGCGCGGCGCUUGACCCCCCGCCCUCCUUCUCCCCACCAGCAGCCACCCGUUUGUUCUCUGUGUCUGUGAGGCUGUUUCUUUUUGGUUCUAUUCACUGGUUUGUUACAUGUUUUAGAUGCUGCCUCUGAGGGAGAACAUACAGUAUUUGUUUUUCACUUGGCACAAUACUCUCCAGAUCCAUUCAUUGUGUUGUUGCAGAUGGCAAAAUUUCAUUUUUUCAUGUCCGAGUAGUAGUCCAUGGUGUGUGUGGACCACAUUUGGGUCUUCAGUCUAUUUUGAGUCUAUUUGGGUUUUUUGCUUUUUUAGGGCCGCACCUGCAGCCUAUGGAGGCUCCCAGGCUAGGGGUCGAGUUGGAGCUGUAGCUGCCGACCUACACCACAGCCACAGCCACACCAGAUCCGAGCCACAUCUGCACCCUACACCACGGCUCACGGCAGUGCUGGAUCCUUAACCCACUGAGCGAGGCCAGGGAUCAAACCCGCAUCCUCGCGGAUGUGGGUUGGGUUCAUUAUCGCUGAGCCACAGUGGGAACUCCAGAGUGUGUUUCAUUGGAGGGUGUUCUGCUCUCUUUAUUUGCACGUGCUGUCCGGUUUUCCCAGGACCCUUACUGCGUGGGCUGUCUUUGCGUGGAUUGGCAGAACAGGCCUUGUUAACGGGCCGCAGGACCUAAGCUCACCUGCACACAGUCAGUGGGGUCCCCCCCGAAACAGCAGUGGCACUUUCCACAGAGCCGGAACCAUGAUCUUAAAAUUCCUGAGGAAACACAGGAGAGCCUGACUGACCAGAGCUGGGGCGCCGCCCUCAGACCUGAGCUGCGCUGCCAGGCUCCCGUCACCAGAGCGGCAUGGUGCUGGCACACAGGCUCUAGCCGGCCGGAGGGGGUGCCUGGCCCGGGGCCCCGGCCCCCCAAGGGAGGUGGGCGCAGGCGUCCUCACCCUUUGGCUGUUCCCCGCGCUGCCCUGUGGCCGGGGCGCCGUGUCUCCCGUUCUCUUCCAUCCACGCCCCCGGGGCUGUGGGCAGGUGGCGCACUGCUUCAGCUCCGUGUCACUCGGGGUUGGCGGCCCCAGCGUCGCUGCCCACGCAGGGCCACCGUGAUUCACAGGAUGCCUGCCCACGAGGCCAGCUGAGCCCUGGAUGGGCAGCUGUUCCCUCGCGGGCAGGCGAGCCGUCUGUGUGAGAUUCUUCUGGACACCUGGUCUUGUCUGCUUUGCCUUGCAGAGGAGAAACGUCCCGGUGAAGCCUCCGGACGAGGCCAAGGCCGGGGACCCUCUCGGGGACGGCGGCUCCGCCCUGGACUUCAUGGCCAUGAAGUCCUAUUCAGACGUCUCUCUGGACAUCUCCGUGCUCGGCUGUCUGGGGAAGGUGAAGAAGGAGCUGGACCAUGAUGAUGGCCCCUUGAGCCUGGACGAGACCACGAAGCUCCUCCAGGACCUGCACGAGGCGCAGGCAGAGCGCGGGGGCUCCCGGCCGUCGUCCAACCUCAGCUCCCUGUCCAACGCCUCGGACAGGGACCAGCAUCACCUGGGGAGCCCGUCCCACCUCAGCGUCGGGGAGCAGGCCGAGGGGACCCACGACCCGUACGAGUUUCUGCAGUCUCCCGAGCCUGCGGCCGCCACGAAGAGCUAAGCUUGUCGAUAGUCUCACGGUUUUAUUUGCAUGUAGAGGUCGCGUCCUGAGACAGAGACUUUGCCUCUGUCCCCUCGGCCUGCGGGAGCCGCCGGUGAGACAGUGAGGGGCUCUGGGAUCGUGUCAUCGCGGCUCCAGCGUUUCUGUCGAUGGUCUUGCGGCCCCUGUGGCGGAAUCACGUAUAAAAGGCAUGUGACAGAUGCCCCGAAGCCGGUGUGAUCUGUCCCUAAGCUUGAGUCGGUGUCCUUCCCUGUGGCUGUGUGGACACGUCCUCCGAGUGGCCGCGGAAGCAGCCCUGGGGGGGAGCUGUGCUCUGUGGGGGUCCUGCCUGGUCCUUGCCCCCCACAUCCCAUUUCUGAGGCAGGUCAGGGCAGAGCCACGUGGGAGCCAGGCGUGCGCCCUCCCGGCCCCGGACAGGCAGGGGUCUCUGACCCGUGUGCUCUGGGAGGGGUGCGUGCCGUGAGGCUGGCCUUCCUGCGGGCACAGCGCAGUGUUAAGUGACUCUUUGUUCCAGAUGUGUUUACUGGAUGUGUGUUUGUAUGAUGCCAGUGCAGCUCUUAAUAAAAAGAUACGCACAGCGCAA